AGUUGGUGUUCUGGUAACCUUCCUUGUGGACAGACUCAAAGAUCAUCACUCGGUGAUACCACAUGUAUUGCGCGGACUGCUAGCAUCGAGUGGGUGUAAAAAUCUAUUGGAAGAGGACAUUGCGAGUCUGCUAAGGGGAAUAUUUAAGGAGGUUCAAGUACAAGCACACAUGCAGGCUGACAGGCGUGCCGUAUUUUCAACGAUUGCAACACUGCUGGAUCACAGGCUUACAGAUGUGUUGCCGCUGGGGGCCGAUUUUGUUUUUGGAUUCAUACAAGUCCUAGACGGGGAAAAGGAUCCUCGGAACCUGUACAUCGGCUUUCGACUCGUCUGCAUCAUCUGUGCACAUUUUC